rnacentral:rRNA from 1 species
CAGCCGCCACGGUAAUACGAAGGGCGCAAGCGUUAAUCGGAAUUACUGGGCGUAAAGCGUGCGCAGGCGGUUUGUUAAGACAGAUGUGAAAUCCCCGGGCUCAACCUGGGAACUGCAUUUGUGACUGGCAAGCUAGAGUGUGGCAGAGGGGGGUGGAAUUCCGCGUGUAGCAGUGAAAUGCGUAGAUAUGCGGAGGAACACCGAUGGCGAAGGCAGCCCCCUGGGCCAACACUGACGCUCAUGCACGAAAGCGUGGGGAGCAAACAGGAUUAGAUACCCGGGUAGUCCCUGUCUCUUAUAC